GUCUUCCCUUUGGCAGCACAUGUACUAAAAUUGGAACAGUACAGAGAUUAUUAUGGCUCCUGCACAGGGAUGACAUACAAAUUUGUGAAGUGUUCCACAGUAAA
ensembl:snRNA U6 U6 spliceosomal RNA